rnacentral:rRNA from 1 species
UUUAUUGGAGAGUUUGAUCCUGGCUCAGGACGAACGCUGGCGGCAUGCCUAAUACAUGCAAGUCGAGCGGACUUGAAGAGAAGCUUGCUUCUCUGAUGGUUAGCGGCGGACGGGUGAGUAACACGUAGGCAACCUGCCCUCAAGUUUGGGACAACUACCGGAAACGGUAGCUAAUACCGAAUAGUUGUUUUCUUCGCCUGAAGGAAACUGGAAAGACGGAGCAAUCUGUCACUUGGGGAUGGGCCUGCGGCGCAUUAGCUAGUUGGUGAGGUAACGGCUCACCAAGGCGACGAUGCGUAGCCGACCUGAGAGGGUGAUCGGCCACACUGGGA